rnacentral:lncRNA from 1 species
UGUCCUCUGAAGGGGCGGCGCAUGGGCGUCCCCCGCCCUGCUAGCCCCAUCUCCUUCCCUGUCCCUGCUUGGGCAGGAGGCCCAAGCCCUGACAACAGAGGUGAGAGAGGCUGUGCCAGCCCUUCUCUGGGCAUGUCUGGGCUCAAGGGCCAGGCUCUGUCUCCAGUCUAGGGCCAAGCUGGGGCCUGUGGCAGGAUCAGAUAGAGGCAAAACAUUGAUGAGGCAGGGGGACGGACAAAAUGGGCCUUCCAGAGGUGCUCUCAGACCCUCCCAGCCACACUACAGCCGCAGAGCCCUCCGCUCACAAACCAUCCUGGCCUCAUCAGAACCUGGGGAGGGUUCCUAGUUGUGCAGGAUGCAGAAACUGAGGCUCAGAAGCGUUCGGCCACGUGCAUGCAUUGCCUUUCCCAUUGGUGCUCCAUCGCCAGUAAUGGAUAAGUAAUAAGUAAUAAGGUGCAUUGGAAAUUCAAAUUUCAGAAUAAGCUGACUGCCAAGAGGGCCCUCCCCCUGUCGGGAGUCCCUUAGUCCAUGGGAAAUUCACAGAGAAGGAAACAGUCACUUUUCCUGCACCUGAGAAGGUGAUUCUGACUCUCCUGGAACCUGAGAACCACCAGUCUACGGGAACAGAGCCCUGCUUUGGGUCAGGUGUGUAUAACUAUGGUAUUCCCUUUCUUCUCUGCCUCUAUUGUUGAUGUUGUUUUUUUGUUUUUUGUUUUUUUUUGAAACGGAGUCUCGCUGUUGCCCAGGCUGGAGUGCAGUGGCGCAAUCUCGGCUCACUACAAUCUCCGCCUCUGGGGUUCACGCCAUUCUCCUGCCUCAGCCUCCCGAGUAGCUGGUAAGGGAGGAGACCACCCCUCACAUUGUCUUAUGCCCAAUUUCUGCCUCCAAAGAAAGAAGUAAAAACUAAAAGGCAGAAAUGAAAUCCACAGGCAGACAGCCCGGCGCUGCACCCUGGGCCUGGUAGUUAAAGAUCGACCCCUGACCUAAUCAGUUAUGUUGUCUAUAGAUUACAGACAUUGUAUAGAAAUGCACUGUGAAAAUCCCUAUCUGUUUUGUUCCGAUCUAGUUACCAGUGCAUGCAGACCCCAGUCACGUACCCCUUGCUUGCUCAAUCAAUCCCGACCCCCUCACACGCACCCUCCUUAGAGUUGUGAGCCCUUAAAAGGGAUAGGAAUUGCUCACUCGGGGAGCUCGGCUCUCGAGACAGGAGUCUUGCCGAUGCCCCCAGCCGAUUAAACCCCUUCCUUCAACUCGGUGUCUGAGGAGUUUUGUCUGCAGCUCGUCCUGCUACACUGGGACUACAGGCGCUCGCCACCACG